GACACACAGUAGGCACAAUAGUUUCCAAACUAACAAGUCAGGUCAAGGUGUAGCUUAUUAGGUGGAGGAAAUGGGCUACAUUUUCUACGAUAGAUCAUCUACGGACUUCGCUCUGAAACCAAAACGAACAAAGGAGGAUUUAGCAGUAAGCCAAACAAGAGAGUUUGACUAAAUACUUAGCCCUGGAACAUGUACACACCGCCCGUCAC
rnacentral:rRNA from 1 species